ACAAGUCUAUGAAUAGGAGAACGAAGGUCGAUGUUUUUGUUAAAGAUACUGCCAAUAUUAUUUUGGUAACUACGUUCGAGGAUACAUUCUUUGAUUAGAUCCCAAAGGAGAAGGUCGUAGCUGUUUUUAAUCGAUUUCAAACGAUGCGUAGUAUUCUUAGUGUCCGUUUCACGGAGAAAGUAUGGCGGAUUGGUUUACGUCGAUUCAUCAACAAGCUUGAUAGAAUAAAAAACAUAUAUUCGCCUAAACAUCUAUGAUAUAGAUUUCAAUGAAACGGAGGAUCGAAGUGAGAGAAGAUAUCUGUUUGGUGAAAAGCGUGGAAAUUCGUUAUAAAACAAGUCUGACUGGCGAGUAAGAAGAGCGAGUAUAACUCUAAUCGAGUUGGUGAGUCGGACAAGUAUCCUGUUUACGAAGCUGAAACGCCGAUCGAUUCCGGAUGCGUAUCGUGAAAGCAGCCUUCGAGAGGAGGCAGAACUCCGCACGCACUCUUAGUGGAUUUGCUGUGGCGCGGCGUGGUUCGCAUACCACAUGGUGAAAUGUCUAUUAUCGUCUAUUGUUCCGUAAAUAUGGCGACCUUCGAGUCUCUUGGUGAAAUCAUUCGAUCAUUUGAUUUUAAAAGGGCAUGAAAAAUAAUAAUAAGGAAGAUACAUUUAAGAAAAUUAAAGAGGGGUGUCUUUUGCAUUUAUAGGAUCAAUCUUCGAACGCAAUAAACUUUACGUAUCCAAUGGAUUGAAUUUAAAUAGAAAUUGAAGUGACCAGAAGGAGGAUCGUCAAAUUACAUCGUUCGAUCUAUAUACAAGGUUAAAGAGAAAGAAGAAAGAGAAAUAAAAGAAGAUGUAAAAGAGAAAGAGAAAGAGGAGGAGGAAGAGUAGGAGAAGAAGAAUAAGAAGAAGAAGAAGAAAGGGCGUUCGAUCACACGGCACGUUCGACACAAGCAAUCGAGAAAGGGAGAAAGAAGAAAGCUUGCUAUUCAGUGACCCAAAAUUAUCGCACGUAUAUGCAUACUUCCUUGCAAUUAAACACCCACUUUGUUCGAUUGUCUGCGAAGGCCUCUUUUCAUGUUACUUUAUGAACAUACGCAUACAUGGAUAUACCUAUGUCUUAUAUAUUCUAACUACGUAUUUUGAACGAUAGAUUGUAAUCGUAAUUAUUCGAGAAAGUUAUCUUGAUGAUCUUUAAAAUCAUGACAUAUUUAUGACAAAUAUAUAUAUUCGUUUAUAUUCGUUUUAUAAUAAAAUUUAAUCAUUGUUUAUUUUAUAAUAACGUUUGAAAGUUAUUAUAUCAUUAAUAACUUUGUUAAUUUUAAUUAAAUAAUGCCAUUAAUGAUAUUACAGUGAAUGCAGAAUUACAAUUU